UACGAAGGGGGCUAGCGUUGCUCGGAAUUACUGGGCGUAAAGGGAGCGUAGGCGGACAUUUAAGUAGGGGUGAAAUCCCGGGGCUCAACCUCGGAAUUGCCUUUGAUACUGGGUGUCUUGAGUGUGAGAGAGGUAUGUGGAACUCCGAGUGUAGAGGUGAAAUUCGUAGAUAUUCGGAAGAACACCAGUGGCGAAGGCGACAUACUGGCUCAUUACUGACGCUGAGGCUCGAAAGCGUGGGGAGCAAACAGG
rnacentral:rRNA from 1 species